UACGAAGGGGGCAAGCGUUGUUCGGAAUUACUGGGCGUAAAGGGCGCGUAGGCGGCCUUCUAAGUCGAACGUGAAAUCCCUGGGCUCAACCCAGGAACUGCGUCCGAUACUGGGAGGCUUGAAUCCGGGAGAGGGAUGUGGAAUUCCAGGUGUAGCGGUGAAAUGCGUAGAUAUCUGGAGGAAUACCGGUGGCGAAGGCGGCAUCCUGGACCGGCAUUGACGCUGAGGAGCGAAAGCCAGGGGAGCAAACGGG
rnacentral:rRNA from 1 species